AACGCACGAGACCUGCGGACCUGCGGAAGGAUCAUUGCAAAUCAGGAGGUGGGGUGGGAGUGUUGGAGACGGAGGCACGGGGAUCAGGGUCUUUUGAUUUUGAUACUCUGGUCUGUUCUAUCCAUUCAUCCCAUUUUAUCUCAUAUAUGCACAGCGGCUGAUCAGUCAGUCGCUGAUGUUUACGCUUGUUUGUUUGACAAAUCUAUACAUUGCAAAAUUCAAAACUUUUAACAACGGAUC
rnacentral:misc_RNA from 1 species